GUCUAUGGCCAUACCACCUUGAAUAUACCCAGUCUUGUCUGAUCUCAGAAGCUAAGCAGGGUCGGGCCUCAUUCAGUACUUGGAUGGGAGACUGGCCCAGAACAUUGAGUGCUCUAAGCU
ensembl:rRNA 5S_rRNA 5S ribosomal RNA